rnacentral:tRNA from 1 species
GACCUCGUAGCUCGGUUGGUAAGAGCGAUGGCUGUAUUAUAGCCUUCCCCUUGCUGGCGUGGGCUCGAAUCCCACUGAGGCCG